rnacentral:rRNA from 1 species
CCUACGGGGGGCUGCAGUGGGGAAUAUUGGACAAUGGGCGAAAGCCUGAUCCAGCCAUGCCACGUGUGUGAAGAAGGCCUUCGGGUUGUAAAGCACUUUCAGUGGGGAAGAAAGCCUUGGGGCUAAUACCCUCGAGGAAGGACAUCACCCACAGAAGAAGCACCGGCUAACUCCGUGCCAGCAGCCGCGGUAAUACGGAGGGUGCGAGCGUUAAUCGGAAUUACUGGGCGUAAAGCGCGCGUAGGCGGUCUGAUAAGCCGGUUGUGAAAGCCCCGGGCUCAACCUGGGAACGGCAUCCGGAACUGUCAGGCUAGAGUGCAGGAGAGGAAGGUAGAAUUCCCGGUGUAGCGGUGAAAUGCGUAGAGAUCGGGAGGAAUACCAGUGGCGAAGGCGGCCUUCUGGACUGACACUGACGCUGAGGUGCGAAAGCGUGGGUAGCAAACAGGAUUAGAUACCCGGGUAGUC